GAUGAACGCUGGCGGCGUGCUUAACACAUGCAAGUCGAACGGAAAGGCCACAGCUUGCUGUGGUACUCGAGUGGCGAACGGGUGAGUAACACGUGGGUGAUCUGCCCUGUACUUCGGGAUAAGCUUGGGAAACUGGGUCUAAUACCGGAUAGGAAUCACAUGUGGGUGUGUGGGUGGGAAGCUUUUGCGGUAUGGGAUGAGCUCGCGGCCUAUCAGCUUGUUGGUGGGGUAAUGGCCUACCAAGGCGUCGACGGGUAGCCGGCCUGAGAGGGUGUACGGCCACAUUGGGACUGAGAUACGGCCCAGACUCCUACGGGAGGCAGCAGUGGGGAAUAUUGCACAAUGGGCGCAAGCCUGAUGCAGCGACGCCGCGUGGGGGAUGACGGCCUUCGGGUUGUAAACUCCUUUCGUCAGGGACGAAGCGAAAGUGACGGUACCUGGAGAAGAAGCACCGGCUAACUACGUG
rnacentral:rRNA from 1 species